rnacentral:rRNA from 1 species
CGUGUAGGCGGCCGGCCAAGUCGGAUGUGAAAGCCCUCGGCUCAACCGAGGAAGUGCGUUCGAUACUAGCUGGCUUGAGUACCGGAGAGGGUGGUGGAAUUCCCGGUGUAGAGGUGAAAUUCGUAGAUAUCGGGAGGAACACCAGUGGCGAAGGCGACCACCUGGACGGAUACUGACGCUGAGACGCGAAAGCGUGGGGAGCAAACAG